rnacentral:rRNA from 1 species
UACGUAGGGCGCAAGCGUUGUCCGGAAUUAUUGGGCGUAAAGAGCUCGUAGGCGGUUGGGUAAGUCGGGUGUGAAAACUCCAGGCUCAACUUGGAGAUGCAACCCGAUACUGCUCUGACUUGAGUUCGGUAGGGGAGUGGGGAAUUCCUGGUGUAGCGGUGAAAUGCGCAGAUAUCAGGAGGAACACCGGUGGCGAAGGCGCCACUCUGGGCCGAAACUGACGCUGAGGAGCGAAAGCGUGGGUAACAAACAGG